rnacentral:rRNA from 1 species
AGUGAACGCUGGCGGUAGGCCUAACACAUGCAAGUCGAACGGCUGAACAGAACGAGCUCCUUCAUUCGGGUGCCGAGUGGUGGAUAGGGGCUGGAAACCUGGGAGUUAAUGGGUGAGAGCGGGCGAACACAGGGAAUAUUACGGCAUACCCGCUUAGGACGAAAGUGGGAAAGCUGCGGACCUCACGAUAUCACAUGAUCCGAGGUCGGAUUAGCUAGUUGGCGGGGUAAAGGCCUACCAAGGCGACGAUCCGUAGCUGGUCUGAGAGGAUGAUCAGCCACACUGGAACUGAGACACGGUCCAGACUCCUACGGGAGGCAGCAGUGGGGAAUAUUGGACAAUGGGCGCAAGCCUGAUCCAGCCAUACCGCGUGGGUGAAGAAGGCCUUCGGGUUGUAAAGCCCUUUUGCUGGGAAAGAAAAGCAGCAGGUUAAUACCCCGCUGUUCUGACGUUACCCAAAGAAUAAGCACCGGCUAACUUCGUG